rnacentral:rRNA from 1 species
CGGGGUGGAGUAAUGCUUGGGAAUCUAGCUUAUGAGGGGGAGUAACUACGGGAAACUGUAGCUAAUACCGCGUAGUAUCGGAAGAUGAAAGUGUGGGACCUUCGGGCCACAUGCCAUAGGAUGAGCCCAAGUGGGAUUAGGUAGUUGGUGAGGUAAAGGCUCACCAAGCCGACGAUCUCUAGCUGGUCUGAGAGGAUGACCAGCCACACUGGGACUGAGACACGGCCCAG